UAUUUAUUUGAAAGGGUGGCUCACUAGAAAUAUUUUAAAAAUAUAAAUAAAUAAAUAAAAUAUUAUUAUUGUUGUUUAAUACUUAUUUUUAUUUUUAUUAUUUUAUUUUUAUUAUUUUUAUUAUUUUAUUUUUCCUUUCUGUCUCCUUUCCCCGCAUGCCAUAGGCUCUUCCCUCCCUCCCCACCCGCAGCUGCCUCGGGCUUCUCCACAUACGCCACCUCCCAUCGCAC
rnacentral:lncRNA from 1 species